CCAUGUGAUUGGAGAAAAAUUUUUAAUUUGUGUGACCCCAUAGGUUCAAACCUAAAUCGGUAGCACAAAAAUUAAUUAUUGUACCAAUCAGAGUAAUCAUUUAGCAAUGGUGGCCAACGUCUGGAUAGACCGAAUAUAUGCAAAGCAACACUCAAGAACCUAUUUGGAUAUAGUUAUCAUAUAAUUCGUCCUUAUGACCCUUGAUGCUAAGAUGACAUAGAGUUUAAACUAU
rnacentral:lncRNA from 1 species